rnacentral:rRNA from 1 species
CCGGUAUAGAAGAACGUCUUCGUUAACGUCUUCAGCAGAGAAAGCUACGGAUAAUACUGUCGAUGACUUCACGCAGAGGAGCACUGACUACUCGUGCAGCAGCGCAGUAUUACGAGCUGCCAGCGUCAGUCGUACUACUGUCAGUAAAGCGCUAGCAGCGUCUGUACGUCAGAUGAGAAAUCCGCCGUGACUACUAGGUACUGCAUUGAAGCUGACAGCUUGAGUCUGUAGAGGGGGUAGACUCCAGUGUAGCGAUGAAAUGCGUAGUAGAUCUGAGCAAUACCGGUGGACGAAGGCGGUCCCGUGGACAAAGACUGACGCUCAGGUGCGAAAGCGUGGGGAGCAAACAGGAUUAGAUACCUGGUAGUCCACGCCGUAAACGAUGUCGACUUGGAGGUUGUUCCCUUGAGGAGUGGCUUCCGGAGCUAACGCGUUAAGUCGACCGCCUGGGGAGUACGGCCGCAAGGUUAAAACUCAAAUGAAUUGACGGGGGCCCGCACAAGCGGUGGAGCAUGUGGUUUAAUUCGAUGCAACGCGAAGAACCUUACCUACUCUUGACAUCCAGAGAAUUUGGCAGAGAUGCUUUAGUGCCUUCGGGAACCGUGAGACAGGUGCUGCAUGGCUGUCGUCAGCUCGUGUUGUGAAAUGUUGGGUUAAGUCCCGCAACGAGCGCAACCCUUAUCCUUUGUUGCCAGCGAUUCGGUCGGGAACUCAAAGGAGACUGCCGGUGAUAAACCGGAGGAAGGUGGGGAUGACGUCAAGUCAUCAUGGCCCUUACGAGUAGGGCUACACACGUGCUACAAUGGCGCAUACAAAGAGAAGCGACCUCGCGAGAGCAAGCGGACCUCACAAAGUGCGUCGUAGUCCGGAUCGGAGUCUGCAACUGGACUCCGUGAAGUCGGAAUCGCUAGUAAUCGUGGAUCAGAAUGCCACGGUGAAUACGUUCCCGGGCCUUGUACACACCGCCCGUCACACCAUGGGAGUGGGUUGCAACAAGAAGUAGGUAGCUUAACCUUCGGGAGGGCGCUACACUUGAUCAG